rnacentral:rRNA from 1 species
GAUGAACGCUAGCUACAGGCUUAACACAUGCAAGUCGAGGGGCAGCAUGGUCUUAGCUUGCUAAGGCCGAUGGCGACCGGCGCACGGGUGAGUAACACGUAUCCAACCUGCCGUCUACUCUUGGACAGCCUUCUGAAAUGAAGAUUAAUACAAGAUGGCAUCAUGAGUCCGCAUGUUCACAUGAUUAAAGGUAUUCCGGUAGACGAUGGGGAUGCGUUCCAUUAGAUAGUAGGCGGGGUAACGGCCCACCUAGUCUUCGAUGGAUAGGGGUUCUGAGAGGAAGGUCCCCCACAUUGGAACUGCGACACGGUCCAAACUCCUACGGGAGGCAGCAGUGAGGAAUAUUGGUCAAUGGGCGCAGGCCUGAACCAGCCAAGUAGCGUGAAGGAUGACUGCCCUAUGGGUUGUAAACUUCUUUUAUAAAGGAAUAAAGUCGGGUAUGUAUACCCGUUUGCAUGUACUUUAUGAAUAAGGAUCGGCUAACUCCGUG